rnacentral:misc_RNA from 1 species
GAUGAAGAACGCAGCGAAAUGCGAUAAGUAAUGUGAAUUGCAGAAUUCAGUGAAUCAUCGAAUCUUUGAACGCACAUUGCGCCCGCCAGUAUUCUGGCGGGCAUGCCUGUUCGAGCGUCAUUUCAACCAUCAAGCCUUCGCUUGUGUUGGGGCCCCGCGGCUGCCGCGGUCCCCUAAAUCCAGUGGCGGGCUCGUCGUCGUACCGAGCGCAGUAGACAUCCUCGCUCCGGGAACCCGACGGGUGCCGGCCGUGAAACCCCCCACAUCAAGGUUGACCUCGGAUCAGGUAGGAAUACCCGCUGAACUUAAGCAUAUCAAUAAGCGGAGGA